rnacentral:lncRNA from 1 species
CGGCGCUUUCUUCUGCCAUGUCGUGCCUGCCCGGUGCCAGGUUCUCGCCCUGCUGCAUAUGCAUGGCUCUCUAUGGAGAGUAACCCUUUUUGUAGUGCCGUUUUGUAUGGUGUUUUUAAUUAAGCAAUUCUUUUUUUUUUCGCAAGUGCUGUUUUCUUGUUUGCUUGCAGUUAACUGCAUUCGCAAGAACGACAAUUGUGCAGAUAAGCGUCCAAGUCGUCAGCCGGCAGGGUUGGUGAGUAGAACGUACAUACUUUUCGAGUCCAAUGCAAUAACAUAGAAGCAUUAUUGUGGUACUCGACCGUAGUUGCAAGCAUUUGUAUGGUGUACGUGUCGUGAGCUGUUAUCUUCUUCAGUCAGCAUUCAUGUCAAAUUUGUUACUGUAGAUUAUUAAUUUAUCUUUUAACGCUAAUCGUGAAGGUGUACACAGCCCAUGACUGAAUCAUGGUGAUGGUAACCACUGCUCGUUUGACAAAGAAAACAAUGCUCGUUUGCAGGUGGCAGGAUGAACCAAAUGCAAAGUGACAAGAUUGCUUGAGCGCAGGAUCCUUGUUUGGGCGCCAUGAGCAUCAAACCAGCUGCUUUCCGCUUGUUUAGUCAUUUGGCAGGCCAAGCUGCGUUGCAUAUUUGUUUGUGUCGGCGUCAGAACGCUGUCAACGAAAGGCCUCGCCGUCGCCGGCGACCGAAAGAACGGCCUCGAGAUAUCCAGAUUUUUUUUAUUUUUUUAUUUUUUAUUUUAGUAUUUUGCACAAAUCUAUACUGCCGAUUGAAACGGCUAUAGCCAAAUGAAACGGCGGAAGUUAACCGGCAGUAAGUUCCCUCCUCUGAGCUAUACACUUUCAAAAACUCAUAACUAAUUCAUAUGAACUCAGAUGGAGAUAAAUUUUAUGAAAAUUGUA